rnacentral:rRNA from 1 species
CCUACGGGGGGCAGCAGUGAGGAAUAUUGGUCAAUGGACGAGAGUCUGAACCAGCCAAGUAGCGUGAAGGAUGACUGCCCUAUGGGUUGUAAACUUCUUUUAUAUGGGAAUAAAAUGUUCCACGUGUGGGAUUUUGUAUGUACCAUAUGAAUAAGGAUCGGCUAACUCCGUGCCAGCAGCCGCGGUAAUACGGAGGAUCCGAGCGUUAUCCGGAUUUAUUGGGUUUAAAGGGAGCGUAGGUGGAUUGUUAAGUCAGUUGUGAAAGUUUGCGGCUCAACCGUAAAAUUGCAGUUGAAACUGGCAGUCUUGAGUACAGUAGAGGUGGGCGGAAUUCGUGGUGUAGCGGUGAAAUGCUUAGAUAUCACGAAGAAAUCCGAUUGCGAAGGCAGUUCACUGGACUGCAACUGACACUGAGGCUCGAAAGUGUGGGUAUCAAACAGGAUUAGAUACCCUAGUAGUC